GUGGGAAGGACACGUGCACCGUGCUUUUACUGAUGGACCACCGAGACGUUGUGAAGCGAUUUAGAUCUGGAUGAGGCUGUUAAGCGUCAACACAAGCGACUGCACUCAGGCGUCACCUGCGACCGUUGUUACUACACUUCUCCUCCUGAGAGAACAGGUCCAGGCACUCCCUCAGCGUGACCUCGGCCGAGGAGCUCCUCUUCGGGAUGGGCAGCGACAGGUCGCAGAACACGUCAAACGUGUUGGAGUAGUGGGAGCACACGGAGCAAUGCAGCGAGCUGCGCAGCUGACCUGAGAACAGGUGCUUCUUCCACAUGGCAGCUGCCUCUUCUGAAAGCCUGAGGGAGAACGAUGAGUGGUCACGUCGUUAGCGCGUUAGAGGCAGACUGCUCCCUCAGAGCAUCCUCACCUGAACCUGGCAUAUUUUUGUUCAAUCUCCUUCUCGGUGCGUCGUACGUUGGGUCUGCGAUUGAUUUCCGUGUGCAGCUUGUCCAGCAGGAACCGGAGGAACUCCUGCGCGUCCUGUUGACUUGGAUCAGCACAAAGACAUAAAGGCUUUUACUGGUUCACACAUGUCAAUAUAUUAGUGCAUUAUAAGCAGCUUUGCACGUAGAUUACAGCAUUUAUUUCAACUGGACCAUCUUUGCAGAAGCUUUGCUUUUUAUUAUUAUUUACCUGUAACCGGUGAAGUAAGGCACCACCUCUUUAAACAUGGUGUAAAAGUGCCGCGCGUUGACGACGGCGCCGCCCUCGUUCACGUCCCACAGGCCCGACAGCACCUGAGAGAACGCUGGCACAAACAGGCACGGCGCGAUGAGCACACGGCGAAGGGACGAACACAGCGGAUGGCGGAGGAGCUCACCUUCCAUGAGCUUGGCCUCCUCUUUGGAGAACCUCUCGUGCCUGUAGGAGCGGAGCAGGCAGUAGUCCCGCAGCCCGCGGGUGUGAGACAAGCACUGCACUACUGCAUUCAGGAAACACUGAAGUGGAGGCGAAGCACAUUGGAAAGUGGGGACUAUUGGCACAUGCAU